CAAAGUGGGAGCCCAGGCAGAGGAGGCGUGGAGAGCGAGGAAGGGCUGUGAGGACUGUCAGCACGCUGUCACCUCUCACUACCACAAAGCAACACAAACUGGGAAGCUCCAAACCACAGACUCGUUAUCUCACUUCUCUGGAGGCUACAAGUCUGAAGUCAAGGCGUCGGCUGGGCUGCGCUCUCCAAAACCUGUAGGUUCCUGGGACUCAGAGAAAAUAAAUGACUGCCCAAAGUCUUCUAAUAACA
rnacentral:lncRNA from 10 species